rnacentral:rRNA from 1 species
UUCGCAAUGCCCGAAAGGGUGACGAUGCGACGCCGCGUGAGCGAAGAAGGCCCUAGGGUUGUAAAGCUCUGUCGAGGGUUAUGAAAUAUAGAUGGGUUAAUACCCCAUUUAUUUGACAAAAGCCCAAAAGGAAGCCACGGCUAACUCUGUGCCAGCAGCCGCGGUAAUACAGAGGUGGCGAGCGUUGUUCGGUAUUAUUGGGCGUAAAGAGCACGUAGGUGGUUUUGUAAGUCAGGUGUGAAAGCCCUCUGUUCAAAGGAAGAACGGCAUCUGAAACUGCAGAUCUUGAGUGUAGGAGGGGAGAGUGGAACUUCUGGUGGAGCGGUGAAAUGCGUAGAUAUCAGAAGGAACGUCGGCGGCGAAAGCGACUCUCUGGCCUAUUACUGACACUGAGGUGCGAAAGUUAGGGGAGCAAACGGGAUUAGAUACCCCGGUAGUCCUAACCGUAAACGAUGGGCACUAAGUAGAGGGGUUUU